rnacentral:rRNA from 1 species
CGCGGCCUAUCAGCUUGUUGGUGGGGUAAUGGCCUACCAAGGCGACGACGGGUAGCCGGCCUGAGAGGGUGACCGGCCACACUGGGACUGAGACACGGCCCAGACUCCUACGGGAGGCAGCAGUGGGGAAUAUUGCACAAUGGGCGAAAGCCUGAUGCAGCGACGCCGCGUGAGGGAUGACGGCCUUCGGGUUGUAAACCUCUUUCAGCUCUGAAGAAGCGAAAGUGACGGUAGGAGCAGAAGAAGCACCGGCUAACUACGUGCCAGCAGCCGCGGUAAUACGUAGGGUGCGAGCGUUGUCCGGAAUUAUUGGGCGUAAAGAGCUUGUAGGCGGUUUGUCGCGUCUGCUGUGAAAACUCAGAGCUUAACCCUGAGCCUGCAGUGGGUACGGGCAGACUAGAGUGUGGUAGGGGAGACUGGAAUUCCUGGUGUAGCGGUGGAAUGCGCAGAUAUCAGGAGGAACACCGAUGGCGAAGGCAGGUCUCUGGGCCAUAACUGACGCUGAGAAGCGAAAGCGUGGGGAGCGAACAGGAUUAGAUACCCUGGUAGUCCACGCCGUAAACGUUGGGCGCUAGGUGUGGGGCUCAUUCCACGAGUUCCGUGCCGCAGCUAACGCAUUAAGUGCCCCGCCUGGGGAGUACGG